GUCCACGCCGUAAACGAUGGAUACUAGCUGUUGGGCGCAAGUUCAGUGGCUAAGCGAAAGUGAUAAGUAUCCCACCUGGGGAGUACGUUCGCAAGAAUGAAACUCAAAGGAAUUGACGGGGGCCCGCACAAGCGGUGGAGCAUGUGGUUUAAUUCGACGCAACGCGAAGAACCUUACCUGGGCUAGAAAAUGCAGGAACCUGGGAGAAGUCUCGGGGUGCUCUUCGGAGAGCCUGUAGUUAGGUGCUGCAUGGCUGUCGU
rnacentral:rRNA from 1 species